GGGGAAUAUUGCACAAUGGGGGAAACCCUGAUGCAGCAACGCCGCGUGAAGGAAGACGUAUUUCGGUAUGUAAACUUCUAUCAGCAGGGAAGAUAAUGACGGUACCUGACUAAGAAGCCCCGGCUAACUACGUGCCAGCAGCCGCGGUAAUACGUAGGGGGCAAGCGUUAUCCGGAUUUACUGGGUGUAAAGGGAGCGUAGGCGGCGAUGCAAGUCAGAAGUGAAAGCCCGGGGCUCAACCCCGGGACUGCUUUUGAAACUGUGUUGCUAGAUUGCAGGAGAGGUAAGUGGAAUUCCUAGGGUAGCGGUGAAAUGCGUAGAUAUUAGGAGGAACACCAGUGGCGAAGGCGGCUUACUGGACUGUAAAUGACGCUGAGGCUCGAAAGCGUGGGGAGCAAAC
rnacentral:rRNA from 1 species